rnacentral:lncRNA from 1 species
GAAUUGGCCACAGACCACAAUUAAUUCCUCUAUCAGUUCUUUAUAACCUUUUGCAUCAUUAAAAAAAUUGCACCAUGCACUUUUGUCCAAUUUUUUGUGUGUGUAAUGUAUAGUCCUAGUCCAAAUAUAUAUCCAAAAUUCAGAAAGAUUGUAACAAUCACUUUUACAAAUUUAGCCAAUACACAUCCAUACCCCUAUUAACAAGUCAAG